AUUCCAGCUCCAAGAGCGUAUAUUAAAGUUGUUGCAGUUAAAAAGCUCGUAGUUGGAUUUCUGGUACAAUGCGCCUGGCCCGCGGCAGCAAUGCCUGUGAGUGCCGGUGCGCGUUGGCCAUCCUUCUAGAAAACGUUUCUACCAUUAACUUGGCUGGACUCGCGAUCUAGAUCUUUUACUUUGAAAAAAUUAGAGUGUUCAAGGCAGGCUUUUGCUGUGAAUACAUUAGCAUGGAAUAAUAAUCUAGGACUUCGGUUCUAUUUUGUUGGUUUCUAGAAUUGAAGUAAUGAUUGAUAGGGAUAGUUGGGGGUGCUAGUAUUGGCCGGCCAGAGGUGAAAUUCUUGGAUUCGGUCAAGACUAACUUAUGCGAAAGCAUUCACCAAGGAUGUCUUCAUCA
rnacentral:rRNA from 1 species